rnacentral:tRNA from 1 species
UGUAUAGCUCAGUGGUAGAGCACUUGCCUAGUAUGUGCAAGGCCCUGGGCUCCAUCCCCAGCAUUACAA